rnacentral:rRNA from 1 species
UGUUUCGGCUAGGGGGUCAUCCCGACUUACCAACCCGAUGCAAACUACGAAUACCGAAGAAUGUUAUCACGGGAGACACACGGCGGGUGCUAACGUCCGUCGUGAAGAGGGAAACAACCCAGACCGCCAGCUAAGGUCCCAAAGUCAUGGUUAAGUGGGAAACGAUGUGGGAAGGCACAGACAGCCAGGAUGUUGGCUUAGAAGCAGCCAUCAUUUAAAGAAAGCGUAAUAGCUCACUGGUCGAGUCGGCCUGCGCGGAAGAUGUAACGGGGCUAAACCAUGCACCGAAGCUGCGGCAGCGACACUAUGUGUUGUUGGGUAGGGGAGCGUUCUGUAAGCCUGCGAAGGUGUGCUGUGAGGCAUGCUGGAGGUAUCAGAAGUGCGAAUGCUGACAUAAGUAACGAUAAAGCGGGUGAAAAGCCCGCUCGCCGGAAGACCAAGGGUUCCUGUCCAACGUUAAUCGGGGCAGGGUGAGUCGACCCCUAAGGCGAGGCCGAAAGGCGUAGUCGAUGGGAAACAGGUUAAUAUUCCUGUACUUGGUGUUACUGCGAAGGGGGGACGGAGAAGGCUAUGUUAGCCGGGCGACGGUUGUCCCGGUUUAAGCAUGUAGGCUGGUUAUCCAGGCAAAUCCGGAUAACCAAGGCUGAGGUGUGAUGACGAGGCACUACGGUGCUGAAGUAACAAAUGCCCUGCUUCCAGGAAAAGCCUCUAAGCAUCAGGUAACAUUAAAUCGUACCCCAAACCGACACAGGUGGUCAGGUAGAGAAUACCAAGGCGCUUGAGAGAACUCGGGUGAAGGAACUAGGCAAAAUGGUGCCGUAACUUCGGGAGAAGGCACGCUGGUGUGUAGGUGAAGCCCCUGCGGGUGGAGCUGAGACCAGUCGAAGAUACCAGCUGGCUGCAACUGUUUAUUAAAAACACAGCACUGUGCAAACACGAAAGUGGACGUAUACGGUGUGACGCCUGCCCGGUGCCGGAAGGUUAAUUGAUGGGGUUAUCCGUAAGGAGAAGCUCUUGAUCGAAGCCCCGGUAAACGGCGGCCGUAACUAUAACGGUCCUAAGGUAGCGAAAUUCCUUGUCGGGUAAGUUCCGACCUGCACGAAUGGCGUAAUGAUGGCCAGGCUGUCUCCACCCGAGACUCAGUGAAAUUGAACUCGCUGUGAAGAUGCAGUGUACCCGCGGCAAGACGGAAAGACCCCGUGAACCUUUACUAUAGCUUGACACUGAACAUUGAGCCUUGAUGUGUAGGAUAGGUGGGAGGCUUUGAAGCGUGGACGCCAGUCUGCGUGGAGCCAACCUUGAAAUACCACCCUUUAAUGUUUGAUGUUCUAACGUUGGCCCCUGACCGGGGUUGCGGACAGUGUCUGGUGGGUAGUUUGACUGGGGCGGUCUCCUCCCAAAGCGUAACGGAGGAGCACGAAGGUUAGCUAAUCCUGGUCGGACAUCAGGAGGUUAGUGCAAUGGCAUAAGCUAGCUUGACUGCGAGCGUGACGGCGCGAGCAGGUGCGAAAGCAGGUCAUAGUGAUCCGGUGGUUCUGAAUGGAAGGGCCAUCGCUCAACGGAUAAAAGGUACUCCGGGGAUAACAGGCUGAUACCGCCCAAGAGUUCAUAUCGACGGCGGUGUUUGGCACCUCGAUGUCGGCUCAUCACAUCCUGGGGCUGAAGUAGGUCCCAAGGGUAUGGCUGUUCGCCAUUUAAAGUGGUACGCGAGCUGGGUUUAGAACGUCGUGAGACAGUUCGGUCCCUAUCUGCCGUGGGCGCUGGAGAAUUGAGGGGGGCUGCUCCUAGUACGAGAGGACCGGAGUGGACGCAUCACUGGUGUUCGGGUUGUCAUGCCAAUGGCACUGCCCGGUAGCUAAAUGCGGAAGAGAUAAGUGCUGAAAGCAUCUAAGCACGAAACUUGCCCCGAGAUGAGUUCUCCCUGAGACUU